UUUGCCUACGGGGGGCAGCAGUGGGGAAUAUUGCACAAUGGGGGAAACCCUGAUGCAGCAACGCCGCGUGAGUGAAGAAGUCAUUCGUGAUGUAAAGCUCUAUCAGCAGGGAAGAAAAUGACGGUACCUGAGUAAGAAGCCCCGGCUAACUACGUGCCAGCAGCCGCGGUAAUACGUAGGGGGCAAGCGUUAUCCGGAUUUACUGGGUGUAAAGGGAGCGUAGGCGGCGAUGCAAGUCAGAAGUGAAAGCCCGGGGCUCAACUCCGGGACUGCUUUUGAAACUGUGUUGCUAGAUUGCAGGAGAG
rnacentral:rRNA from 1 species